rnacentral:lncRNA from 1 species
ACGUUCAAUUCAAAAACGUUACAUUAGACUUCAAAUACUUUCAGAUAUCAUAAUAAUGAAAUAACAUCAUCAACUUUAGAAAUCCCAAAAGCAUACAAUCGAAACCAUCCAUCCUCCUUGACUGAUAUUUUUGCAACCAGCACAAAUAUAUAUAUUAGCGAGAGAGAGAAAGAUCAAUAUUGAUUGCCUUCUACAAAAUUUAGUUGCCGCAUACAAAAAUUGGAUGACAAGAAGCGCAAGAAGGCAAGCUCUAGAGCUAUACCUGAAUAUGGUGUAAUUCAAUCAUCGCGGACUGUUUUCGCGGGCCUCAGAGGUCAUUGGU